GGUCAUUCAUUGAGUUUGUAUGAUUUCAUCAUUACUUACAAAGCUGCAAUAUAAUAUAACUGAGAGGCCACGAUGUAUUUUCUAUUCUUUAUGCCAAUGAUUCCUUGCUUACCUGUACACAGUCCAUGCAUGUUUUGAACUGAUUUUGCAUUCUCCAUUUGUGGUGAGUUAUUUAGCAUUUUAACCACCUUUUGUGCCAUUCAGCUUGUACAGAAAACAUUUUUAUUGACGUUUUAAAGGGAGGGGGAAGAAAAGAAGAACCCCCCUUCUGCUCCCUAGUUGUAGGUAGAACUCAGUUACUUAGCAAACAGAUGUAGAUGAGUGGUUGUAGUGUUAGAAAUGGUAGCUUGCUCGUGAACAAGCUUUUGAGAGUAAAUGCAUGGUCCUGUACCUCUCUUCUCUUAAUUAGCUCUUCCUUUCCUCCUGGAAAGAUUCUCUCUCUUUCCCUCUCUCUUAUUCUGUCUUUGUCUCUCUCGUGGUUGUAAAGUACAGAUUUGGGCAUAAAUAAAAUGAUCUGCGACGAGGUUUGAAAAGCAGUUCUCAACAGGUUCUCUCGGGGAACUUAUUUCUCACAGCGCCUUGCCUUGGCACUUGAUUAGACUCUAACUUUCAAGGUGAAACAGAUGGAGAUCAGUCAUCUGUUGCCUCUGCUUGGACUGGGGAACCAGUUACAUCUUUGGAAGUUUGCGUCACUGGUGAACGAUGAGAUCUUGCUGAUCUGUGGCAGCCGAGGCAUGUGGCACGUGGUGCAUCGGCCGUGGCUUCCCCGCCUGGUUGUUCUACAUGGGACCAGUCCCAGGGCCCCUGAUUGCGGAGUUUGCACACUUUGAUUUUCCUGGAUACGCAGCAGAAGGGGGUGGGGAUGGUGUAUGGGAUUUAUGUUGUUAGGGGUUCUCUAGGCAGCUCCUUCUCCACACUCCCAAGCUCUGACUUGAGUACACAGGGCUUAUAGUUCAUUAGCUGUGGCUCUGUUGGCAAUGGAGGACAGAAAAUGGUCCAAGUCUUGGAAAAGAGGGGGUCACUCUCACAGAUAGAUUUUGGAAGAAAUAGACUUAAACUCCCCCCACAAAGCCCUGCCACAAGACCACAAAAUGUCCCUAGAUCCACACAUCUAUCUCCCACACCUCUGCUCCCUUAACAGAAUUUCCUUUUGUUAGAAGAUUUGACUUUCUAGGGAAAAAAAUUUCCAUUUUUGUGAGGUGUUGUGAACUGUUUUUACUACUUGUAAUAACCAUCCCAGGUCUGAGUAUUCUUGUAAUGCAAUGCCAUGCAGCAGAGAACCUGUCCACUUUAUAGCUUUGCUCUCAAUAUUUGUUACUCAUUGUUUUCUCAUCUAAAUGUACAUUUGCAAGAUGUGUGUAAUGUCAUUUUCAAAAAAUAAAAUUUGGUUUCAAUAUUUAGGCCGAUAAAAA
rnacentral:lncRNA from 1 species